rnacentral:tRNA from 1 species
GCCCGGUUAGCUCAGUUGGUAGAGCAUCAGACUUUUAAUCUGAGGGCCACGGGUUCGAGUCCCAUAUCGGUCU